rnacentral:lncRNA from 1 species
GGAGGAAAGGAGAGGACAGGUGGUUUCUUUCCACUGUUGAUGCCUUGUAGAUGCCUUGUUGACGUUUAUCUCCUAGUCGUAUCUUGUUGGAUAUGCUGUUACAGUCCUUGGAUGCUCAAAGUUGUCCAUGCUGUUUUGCUUUGUGAUAUAUGAAUAUUAAUAUGUUAGCGUCCUCGGCCCUGUUGGGCGCAACGGCCGAGUCGCAGCAUUUUCUUAUGAGUGCAUGCAUAUCCGCCAAUGGGAGACGUGUCAACAGGCUGUUGGACGAUAUUUCUUCGGAUAUGAUGGAAAUAAAAUGAUAUCCAAUUCAAUGCUCGCUGGAUAUCUGGGGAGUGCUUUCUUUAUCUAAUUGGAUUGACAACUUCAAAGGCAGCGUGGGCCCGAGAUAUCCGACAAUUCCUGGGAUGGUAGCAGAUGCCUCCCCGGCUUGUAAUGCCGAGGUCCAGCGUCCAGAUUUUGGCAGGGCCUCUGUGGUCAACCAACCUCGGCGACCGCACCGCACGAGUGGCAGGUCCUGUCGUUAAGACCUGGAGUCGGGCAUGCUUUCCCUUGGGACCUCCGUAUCCGCUCAAAGCAAGGCAUGAAGUCCCUUUUUUUUUUCCUCCAAAUUAUUUAUAAAUUCUUUAAUAUUUUUGGAAGUGAAAAAUUAUUUAUUUAUGCAGAUAGAGCAAGGGCAAAAGCACAAAAUGGCGAAGUUUUUAUGUAAAUGCUAUUCCAUGACAUCAAUCUUCUAGUGGUAUUUGUAGAUAAACAAAAAUAGAAAACAAAAAUGAUGCUAAACAGGUCUAUAUAUUGGAUGUGGGUCAUAUCUUUCAUAUGAAAAAAAAUGAUGCAUCUUUGUUUCACAAUCUGCAUUAUUGGAUCGCAAAAUAGCUACUAUGAGAUUUGUACAGACA